CUGGUAGUUUUAUUAAGCGAGAUCCUGCAUCUUCCCUCCUCGCCUCGGAGGGGUGCGAAGCGCCAGCGAGCCCAAGGUCUCCCUGGCGAGCAUGGCAGGAAUGGAGGGAUCCCGCCAGGGCGCCUCGGCGUACCUCGGGGCCUCCACGGAGGUGCCGGAGAUCUGCCGGCUACAAGCCCGGGCAGGUGCGGCUGGUUAGCCGUGGAAGGCAAUUCACCUAGGAGAGCAAACUCCGAACAACAAACCCGGGCAGGUGGGGCUCGUUAGCCGUGGUAGGCAGUCUGCCUAGGAGAGCAAACUCCGAACAACAAACCCGGGCAGGUGGGGCUCGUUAGCCGUGGUAGGCAGUCUGCCUAGGAGAGCAAACUCCGAACAACAAACCCGGGCAGGUGGGGCUCGUUAGCCGUGGUAGGCAGUCUGUCUAGGAGAGCAAACUCCGAACAACAAACCCGGGCAGGUGGGGCUCGUUAGCUGUGGUAGGCAGUCUGCCUAGGAGAGCAAACUCCGAACAACAAACCCGGGCAGAUGGGGCUUGUUAAAUGUCGUAGACAAUCCACUCAGUGGGAACAUCAGUGAAAGGAGAUUAAAAAGGAACACCAGAAAAACGAAACAUGAAGAAAAGAAGAUAUAAGAAACAGAUCAUCCACCUUUCGGCCCUAACUAACAUCACAAAAAUUAUGGGUGGGUCUUUUCUGGGGAGAAAGAGGCUCAUCCAGACCAAAGAACAUCAGAACGGAUGAUACAGAAAAGAUAAAACAUCAAGAAAAGAGACACACGGGCAGGUGGAGCUCGUCAGCCGUGGCAGGCAGUUCAUCUAGGAGAGGGACAACUCCGAACAAUAAACACAGGCAGGUGGAGCUCGUCAGCCGUGGCAGGCAGUUCAUCUAGGAGAGGGACAACUCCGUACAAUAAACACGGGCAGGCGUUGCUCGUCAGCCGUGGCAGGCAGUUCAUCUAGGAGAGGGACAACUCCGAACAAUAAACACGGGCAGGUGGAGCUCGUUAGAUGUCGUAGACAUCCACGUGAUGGGAACAUCAAAAUGAAAAGGAGAAUGAAAAAGAACACCAGAAUAAAGAAAACGAAGAAACGAAACAUCAAGAAAACAAAAUAAGAAACAGAUCAUCCACCUUUCGGCCCUAACUAACUUCACCAAAAUUAUGGGUGGGUCUUUUCUGGGGAGAAAAAGGCUCAGCCAGACCAAAGAACAUCAGAAUGGAUGAUACAGAAAAGAUGAAAGAACAACAACAGGAAAAGAAUUAAUAGAAACAAACAUCAUCCACCUUUCGGCCCCAAGUAACAUCACAAAAUUAUGGGUGGGUCUUUUCUGGGGAGAAAAAGGCUCAGCCAGCCCAAAGAACAUCAAAAGGGAUGAUACAGGAAAGAUAAAAGACCAACAUCAAGAAAAGAAGAAAAAAACAUCACCGCCUUUCGGCCACAAGUAACAUCACACAAUUAUGGGUGGGUCUCUUCUGGGAGGAAAGCGGCUCACCCAGACCAACGAACAUCAACAAAAGGAUGAUAUAGAAAACAACAAGAGCAAGAAAAUGAACAGAAUAACAUCGAAAAUUAAAACAAAACAUCAAGGAAAGAAAAUUAUUAGAAACAUCAUCCACCUUUCGGCCCUCAGCAACAUCACCAAAAUUAUGGGUGGGUCUCUUCUGGGAGGAAAGCGGCUCACCCAGACCAACGAACAUCAACAAAAGGAUGACAGGAAAAGAAAGAAAAGGAAAAAGAAAAAGAAGAGAGAGAAAAGAAAGAAUAA